rnacentral:lncRNA from 1 species
ACAUCUUGCUGUUAAAGUAUGAUUUUCUGCAUUCAGGAAGUCAUAAUUUGACUACAUAAUCUCAUAAAGGAGAGACAUUUUUAUCAUUUAAAAAUUUCAUAAUUUUUAAAUGAUGAAAAUAUCUUUCUCGCUUUAUGAUUUCUGAAAGAAAAAUUAUGACAUCCUAUGUGGAGUCAUAAUUUAAUUGCAGAUGUUAUAAUUUUUUCA